rnacentral:rRNA from 1 species
AAAAAAAAUUAAAUUGAUUAAAAAUCAAAAAGGUUGUUAAAAAAAAAAUACAAAAGAUUGUAAAAAAAAUUCAAAAAAGAAAUAAAAAAUU